UACGGAGGGUGCGAGCGUUGUCCGGAAUCACUGGGCGUAAAGGGUGCGUAGGCGGGUCUUUAAGUCCGGGGUGAAAUCCUGGAGCUCAACUCCAGAACUGCCUUUGAUACUGAGGAUCUUGAGUAUGGGAGAGGUGAGUGGAACUGCGAGUGUAGAGGUGAAAUUCGUAGAUAUUCGCAAGAACACCAGUGGCGAAGGCGGCUCACUGGCCCAUUACUGACGCUGAGGCACGAAAGCGUGGGGAGCAAACAGG
rnacentral:rRNA from 1 species